AGUGAACGCUGGCGGUAGGCCUAACACAUGCAAGUCGAACGGCAGCACAGUAAGAGCUUGCUCUUACGGGUGGCGAGUGGCGGACGGGUGAGGAAUACAUCGGAAUCUACUUUUUCGUGGGGGAUAACGUAGGGAAACUUACGCUAAUACCGCAUACGUCCUACGGGUGAAAGCAGGGGAUCUUCGGACCUUGCGCGAUUGAAUGAGCCGAUGUCGGAUUAGCUAGUUGGCGGGGUAAAGGCCCACCAAGGCGACGAUCCGGAGCUGGUCUGAGAGGAUGAUCAGCCACACUGGAACUGAGACACGGUCCAGACUCCUACGGGAGGCAGCAGUGGGGAAUAUUGGACAAUGGGCGCAAGCCUGAUCCAGCCAUACCGCGUGGGUGAAGAAGGCCUUCGGGUUGUAAAGCCCUUUUGUUGGGAAAGAAAAGCAGCAGGUUAAUACCCCGCUGUUCUGACGGUACCCAAAGAAUAAGCACCGGCUAACUUCGUG
rnacentral:rRNA from 1 species